rnacentral:rRNA from 1 species
UACGAAGGGGGCUAGCGUUGCUCGGAAUUACUGGGCGGAAAGCGCACGUAGGCGGAUUGUUAAGUCGGGGGUGAAAUCCUGGAGCUCAACUCCAGAACUGCCUUCGAUACUGGCGAUCUCGAGUUCGGGAGAGGUGAGUGGAACUGCGAGUGUAGAGGUGAAAUUCGUAGAUAUUCGCAAGAACACCAGUGGCGAAGGCGGCUCACUGGCCCGAUACUGACGCUGAGGUGCGAAAGCGUGAGGAGCAAACAGG